rnacentral:lncRNA from 1 species
CUCCCAGCCAUUAUUGGCCUUUCAAGGUGCUUCCUCUUAGGAAGACCACAGCUAGCGCUUCUUCAUCUUUAAUGUGACCGUGAAUCACCUGGGAUCUUGUUAAAGUGUAGAUUCUGCUUCAGCAGGUCUGAGGUGGGCUUGGAGUCUGCAUUUCCUUGCUUCCGCGUGAUGACGAUAUUGCUGGUCUUGGGCACCACAGGUGAGGCGCAAGGACCUGAACUCGCCCUCACAGGAAAGGAGCAUAGAAUCUUUCUACAGUCAGUUGAAAAAGAAACAGCCUGAGAAAAUACAGCAGAAGUAUCAGUUUAUUAAAAUAGUUUCCAAUCAAAGAUGGUCUGUGGUCACAAAUGAUAUAUUUUGGUCUCUGGAAAGACAGAGAGCAAGAGGUGGGAGGAGGAGAGAGAGACAGAGAGACCUGGGAGACGCGGGGCCGAGAAGCCUUGGAGAUAUCACUUCCUGGACUUCUCUGCAGAGCAGCCACCGUUGGUCUUGCUAAGAGAGUCUGUGCUGCCCACUCUUGAGCCCACGCUGUUGAGGAUUUUCUCAAUUUCUCCUGGGAUGCUCUGCUUUUCCUCGUUCUCAGUCUCCCGAUGGUAGAAGUAGUUAAAGUUGGAGACAAUAACAGGCACAGGGAGGGCAAUGGUGAGGACCCCUGCGAUGGCACACAGAGUACCCACGAUUUUCCCCCCUGGGGUGGUCGGGCACAUGUCCCCAUAGCCCACAGUUGUCAUGGUGACCACCGCCCACCAGAAGCCAUCAGGAAUGCUGGAGAAAUGGGACUCUGGCUCAUCCACCUCGGCAAAGUAGACGGCGCUGGAGAAGAGGAUGACGCCGAUGAAGAGGAAGAAGAUGAGCAGCCCCAGCUCCCGCAUGGAAGCCUUCAGCGUCUGCCCCAGGAUCUGCAGCCCCUUGGAGUGGCGGGAGAGCUUGAAGAUGCGGAAGACCCUCACCAGGCGGAUGAUCCUCAGGAUGGCCAGGGACAUGUUCUGCUGGGCACUUGGCUCUGUCUCCUGGACCAGCUCCGUGAUGAGGGUUGCGAAGUAGGGGAUGAUGGAGAUGAUGUCGAUGACGUUCAUGAUGCUCCUGAAGAAGUCAGCCUUGCUGGGGCAGACCGUGAACCGGAGCACCAGCUCGAAGGUGAACCACGCGAUGCAGGUGGACUCCACCAUGAAGAAAGGGUCAGUGAACAAAGUGUGGGAGAGGACUGUUUUGCUCAUGUUGAGGCUGGGGUCUCUCACCACCUUCAGCUCCCUCUCCUCUCGGAACUCAGGAAGGGUCUCCAGGCAGAAGAUGGUGAUGGAGAUGAUCACGACCAGGACGGAGACUACGGCCACACCACGGGCAGCACUGGAGCUCUCGGGGUACUCGAAGAGGAGCCAGAACUGCCGGUGGACGUCACUGGUGGGGAGCAGUGUCUCAGGAUCUUUGAUGAAGCCUUCGUCCUCUCGGAACUGGUCCAUGGCCUCGCUGCCCAGCUCGUAGAAGGAGAUCUCGUCUGCAAAGACGUCGAUAGGGACGUUGGCCGGGCGCCGAAUCUUCCCACCAGAUUGGUAAUAGUACAGGAUCCCAUCAAAGCUAGGCCGGUUCCUGUCAAAGAAGUACUCAUUUCUCAUGGAGUCAAAGAACUGCAUCCUUUUCUCCCGAUCUCCCAGAACUACAAAGUUUGUAAUAACUUUUCCUGUCGGACAGGCAGAACAAAGGAUAAAGCACUUGGCUCUUAG